rnacentral:misc_RNA from 1 species
AUCAUCUUUUGCUAAAAAUGGAGUCUUUUUUAUUCUUCUGAUGAACUUGAAAGAAGCUUGCUUUAUGGCUUCUGGUGCGAUUUAAUGCUUCUUGUUUGUGGCUUCCAAGUUGCAGAAACUCUCUAUUCAAGAUCUUGGAGUAAUGUUUUUAUUGGUCGCGCAGGAAGAAAAAGAUAAAACUCUUAAGACUUUCUUUUCGCACGGGUGUCAGGGGCAGCGGUACGAGCAGUUGGGUGUUGCCUUAUUGGCGUUGAGUUCAUGAGAUUAUUAUUUUUACAGCUGCUUCUUGUCAAAGUUGGGG